ACCCACAUUAGAAGGCUUCAUUUGAUCUAAAAUUCCACAAACUUUUUCAAGAGCUUCUUCUGAUACUGGACCAUUGGUUGAGAAAGACUCUUUGCAAGCAUCAUACAACUUUUGAACUACUGGCAUGAUGCCAAUAAUAAAGCAAAUAACCCACCAGCUAAUCUAAUCACGAAGUAUGAAGAAGCUGACUUGUAGAGCAAAUUCUGGAUCACCAAAAACUCAGUGCAAAAAUUGAUCACCCAAAUCAAAUAACAACUUGGAUUCCUCUAGCUUACAGAUGUGCAAUUAACAGAAACCUUCUCUCUUUUUCAUGAGAAAAUAAUCCAUGCCACAGCCUUUCCCUUGUACUUUCAAGUACUCUGAUUGAUUCCCAAGAAACCAAGAGUCCAAGAUGGUGCAACAAUGAAGUAAAAACCCGUGGAAAUUACUCAAAAGCAUAAAUCCCCAGUUUCCAUUUCGUUUACUUUUAGCUCAGAUUCCUUGGUAACACAUCAGAAUUGAGUGGAAAAUCAGAUACCCAUAAGGGGAAAAGUAGCAAUCCACAUACUGGCAACAGGGAGGGAAGAAAGGAGGAAGCGUCAA
rnacentral:misc_RNA from 1 species